rnacentral:rRNA from 1 species
UACGUAGGGUGCGAGCGUUGCCCGGAUUUAUUGGGCGUAAAGGGCGCGUAGGCGGCUCGAUAAGUCAAAGGUGAAAUCCCUCGGCUCAACUGAGGAACUGCCUUUGAAACUGUAGAGCUUGAGUCCGGGAGGGGGUAGCGGAAUUCCCAGUGUAGCGGUGAAAUGCGUAGAUAUUGGGAGGAACACCAGUGGCGAAGGCGGCUACCUGGACCGGAACUGACGCUGAGGCGCGAAAGCGUGGGUAGCAAACAGG